CCGGGUUCGCAGGGACAACCACCGGGGGCGUCCAUACAGGGAAGUACGCCGAGCUCGUUUACCACGAACAAUGCUGCCGGGACCUGUCACUCGGCCGUCGCCUCGUAGGUUAAAAGCCGCGCGACGCGACGCCAUCUGUGCCGUGACACGUGCACCUAUUGUGGCGCUCGACGCCGGCACGCGUCGACGUAAUACCAGAUCGAGCCCGUAACGCACGCGCCGCACGCCCCGUGGCUGCCAGUCAAGUCAGCGGGUCUUACGCACCGUGUGCAGAGCGACGCAUAGCGGCGGGCAUAGAACGUAACCAAACAGAUGGGUGGGUGGCUCCCGUCAAUGAGCGGCAAUUGUGUGGUUCCCAGCCGCGGUCAAAUAUGUGGUUGUGCGCGGUCGCCUGGCCUCCUCCCCUAAUUCCCCCGCCUCGCCUAGCUGACCGCCGUCGCCUCACAUGCUAGGCCACAAUGGCACAUCUGGUUCAAUGAAGAGUUGAGCCCAGUCUGGGGAGAGCGGCCGCACGUGGAGUGGUAGUGGAGCGGUGCUAAUAUGCGGCGCGCCGACUAAACCACGCGACGAGCAGCGCUGGCCGGCCGCAUCGAGAUUAAUGGACCCUUCAGCACUCCCUAACCCCACCCCGCUUUCCUCCGGGCCCGCAGCUAGCACGGCUUGCAUUAUUACACGGUACGACAUUGCCUGAAUGUCUCGCAUGCGCCCACCGGCGCUCUCUUCAACGGAACAUCCUUAACGGCACGGCCUUGCGAAUUUGAAAUGCAAACGAAACAGGUGACACUUCUAAAAUAAACAUCGGCACCGU